rnacentral:lncRNA from 1 species
ACAUAUUUUUCCUCUCAAAAGUUUAAACUAAAUACGAAGAUUCAAGGACUUUUUAUUUUGAAAAAAAAAAAGUAAACAAAAUGCUGCCAAAAAAAUAAAAAAUGGAGAGAUAUUUUAGCAAAUAAAAAAUAGAGGUAGUUUAAAUAUCUAUAAAAAUAAACAAAUACAAAAAACUACGCAAUCCAAUAUAUAUGGAGAGUCUAGUGAUUUGAUUUGAUCCUAGAUAUGAGGAGAUUUGUCUCCUUUCUAUUUAAUUUUUAAAAAAUAACUUGCGAAAAUUUUUAACUAAUCUUUUUUUAUUAGCAGUUUUACCACUUCAAUAUAUUCCACUAAAUUCAAAUUACAGUUGCUAAAAAUCAUUGAUGGCAAGAAGUAGAAAGUAAUAAAAUGAUAAUCAUGCUUAGAUUUGAAGUUAACAUAUUUGUAUAUAAUUGUUGAUCAUCCAAUGUUUUCUUUUAAGCAAUCAAAACUUGUUGUUUCUUGAUUAAUUUCUUUCAAACUUCGAUAAGUUAUUUUGUAGUUCGCGAUUAAGAAAAAAUAUAUCUCAACACGAUUUGUUGAAUGACCCCGGGAUUAAAGGACUAAUAAUAAUAGUUUUAGUUGGUAUAUAUUAGAUUAAAAAAAGUUUUUUCCUAAUCCAUUAAUAAAGAGUAAAAAAAGACAAAUCACGAAUAGCAGCUGAGUUUUCGCCUGAUGAAACCAUAUACCUGAAACUGAAAUGUUUCAAGUUUCAAUAUGUAUUUCUUUAUUAAUACUAUUUUAUUUAUUUCUUGUGAUCAUCAUCCAAACACACAUAAAGACGACAAAUUCUAAUGACGCCAUUGUGCACACAAAAAGAAGUAAAACAUAGUGACGCAUUGUGUAAUCGAUAUCAUAUAUAGAAUCUACUGUUUUGGUUUCGAAACCAAAAGACAAAAGAACAGUGAAGGACUCUUCGAUCAUCUAAGGUUUUCUAGUGUUCAUGACCUACGUGUUUUCUUUAUCUAUUGGUUCCUUCAAUUUGAAGCUUCUUAUCUAGAUCAUGAGCUUACGAAUCUCAUGGACUCACCGCAACAUCAGCGCCACACGAAUUUAUCUAUUUGAUAUAUUUUUUGGAGUCUAUAGGAAAUGUUACAGUUACUUCAAGAUGAAGAACUUACGAGUCUCUUGACUCACCGAAACAUUAGGCCACAUAAAAUAUGAUAUUACUAUUUGGUUGUUUGUCUCCUGAUCUCUAACACAUUUUUGGAGUCUAGGAAAUGUACAUAUAAGAUUAUGAACUUACGAGCCCUCAUGACUCACCGCAACAUUAGCCACAGAAACGUUUACAUAAAUAAGUAUAUAUAACAGUAUUUUGUUGUUUAUGCCCUAAUAUGUAACACAUUUUUGGAGCCUAGCUAGGUAAACGUACAUAUAAGAUUUAUGAACGUACGAGCCUGAUGACUCAUUGCAAUAUUUAGCCACAUGAAUUUUACAACGGCUUUGAUAUAAUUAAUAUUUGGUUAUUCUGUAUUUGUAUAUUUACUAGUUUUAUGUUUUUGUUUUCUCAUGUGGCCGGCCAGUUCCUCAGGUCAGGUGCUUACGCUCAAGUUCGUUGGCUUGUAACGGCGGGAGAAAUCCAAUGUUGGAAUUUGCAUUAUCCGAAUAUAACAUAUUUUUAUAUUUAUAGCAUAUAUGAGCUAAUUACAAGCCCAUUAAGUAGAUUUAAUUGGGCUAAUGAGGUGAGGUGAAUCACACGGCGUCGUCUUCACGUAGGAAGUGAACAAAUUUAGAACGUAUACUAGAUGGGAUACGAACAGGACGAUACUUCUUGUCAAGCCACACAGCUGUUCCUUUCGCCUCCAAUAUCGGCUGCUUUGUUUCAAAGUUAUCAAAAGGAUUCAAAUUAGUGAAAAUGUAAAAAGCUGAUCGACCAAAACAGCAAAGGUGAGGCUAUUAUUAACCUCUUGAUUUGGAAGUUUAAAGAUGAAAUGAUCGAAGUAAAUACGCGCAGCAGAUGUUCCCGAUAUCCUUGCUUUCACCACAAAUUUUUCUCCACUCUGUUCAAAGCAAUGAAAUAAAUAUAAGUAAAGGUGCAAAGAAUUUCGUUGACAUGGUGCUGCUAACUGUAGGAGAAGAAGUAACAUUACACGUAAAGGUGCAAGGAACUUCAUUGUCAACUCUGAAAUUGCUAAGGCUUCACCAGAACGAGCUACUUCGUCACAGUUUAUACCUAUGCUCUCCAGGAAUUCGUGUCGACCUAAAGAUAUCAACAAGCAACAGUUGGUAAGAAUGGGUAUAGCUUAUACGUAAGAACACGCCUUGACUCUAGCUACAGAUCAUUCACUUACUAAAAUAUGCCGAAGCAAAUGCAGAAAAAGCAAGACUAUAAACUUAACUAGCAAGAUCGUAACAUAUCUAUCACUUCCAACCACAUUCACAACAGGUAAGAAGUAAGUAUUGACCAUGCAGUCCAGAAUCUAUCAAAAAGGCAAGCUGAAACUCCUCUUUGACAAUAAAAAUGUAUACAAUCUGACGCAGAAAGAUUCCAAACCAGCUAGACUCUAAACUUAGUAGCACGAUCUUGACACAUUCGUCAAGUAUUCUCAAGUUUCUACUCAACACAUUCACGAAUGUUCCAAUGAGACUCAAAAAGUUCCUUUGAUUAUGCAGUCCAUAAUCUUGAAUUCCUCUUUGACCAUAUAUAUGUACACAAUCUAUACUAACCGAUUCACUAGCAAGAUUAUAACUUUGUAGAAAGAUCUUGAUAGAUUUAUUCUUCUAACAUUGUAAAGUUCUACUCAACCACAUUCACAAGUGUUCCCACUAGACUGAUAAAAGGAGUAACUUUGAUAAUACAUUCCAGAUUCUGACAAGCAUAACAUCUGAAACUCUUCUUUGACAGAAAAAGUGCAACCGAAUUAAACUUUUCAAUCUUCUAGCAAGAAUCUUAAAUUACUAGCAAGAUCUUUUCACACUUAUUUAUUACUCCAAUACUCUAAAGUUCAACUCAACCACAUUCACAAAUGUUCCAAUUAGAUUAGACGCAGAAAAAGGAAUAAACUUGGAUCAUGCAGAGUCCAAUUCAGUCAAGAGUAUGUUCUGAAACUCCUAUUUGACAAACAAAAUCUGAAGCAACAACAUUGCAACUAAACGAUUUACUAGCAAGAAUCUAAACUUAGUAGCAAGAUCUUACAAAACACAUUCUGAACAAUAUAAAGCAGCAACAUUAACACUAACCGUGUUGGCAGUAAUUUGCGUAAACAGCAUUGUUUACAACACCAAACUGAUCCAAUUCAUAAUCACGAACUUUGAGUUCAACCUCAUGAAACCCACUCAUUCUGCCAAUACCAAAAAUUUUCAAUUAAAGAUUUUGAAUCAGAGACAUUACAUCACUCAGUCAGAUACAUAUAUUCGAAAAACAUUGAAUUCAAAAGCGCAAUUUCACAGUUACGCAUCCGAUUUCACAGUAGAGAAGCAGAUAUGAAAUUAGCGAGAUGUGUGUGUACCCUUUGCCUCCUUUGAGAUCGAGAAAUGCGAGAGGCUUGAAGGUCUUUGAGCUCCGGAGAGGAAGGAUACGAGGUCUUCUCCAUGAAUUGUGAAACAUCAAAGACGUUGUCGGAUUCGCCGGAGCGGCCGUGCCGGUCACCUGAAACAUUUCUGGCUUUUCGAGAGAAACGAUGCGACCUUUUUGAAAUCACAGUUUUUCUUAAUUUAAUUUUAUAAUUCUGAACCAAAUUGGUUAACUUACAUAACGUACCAAAUAUAUUUGACCGGUUUAAUGUGUAGAUUAUUUAAUUAUUUGAUUAUCACAAUUUUUAGAAUUAAUCCUUUUGGUUUCCAUACAAGAAAUGCACAUAACUAGAUUGUUGAAAUGCACAUAACUAGAGUCGUGGUGUGGUUUAUCUGGCAGUGGUAGAAAAGAUACAAUGAUUCGUAGUCGGGUAGCGUUAGAUCCGCUAGUGUUUCAGGGCGAUACUAAACUAAAUCAUUGUAUUUGAGUGAAAAUUGUCGAGGUCAAUUGAUUUGUAAUAUCGAAUUGGUGAAUAAAUAGUUGAUGUUGAGUCAAAAAAAAAAAAAAAACUAGAUUGUUGAAACCUUCAAACAAGCAUCAUGUGGUUUUUGCUUGAAGCACUCACAUAAUUACAAAUGACUCCAGAAUUUUGGAGUAAUUAAGAUUAGUAUAUCUGCUAAAAUUAAUUUCAGAUUUUGUUUUUGUUAAGACCCCUAAAACCAACAUUAUUGGUGGGAUUUUAGCCAUAAAAUUUACACUAGAGGGUAUCUUAAAUCUUAUGGCUAAGAUACCACCAAUAAUGUUGCUCUAACCCACAAAUCCAAGAAAGAAGUGACAUAUGUUUUCAAGUGAAUCCAUAUGAUUUCACACAUGAUUCAUUUCCUAAACAGGAAAAAGACAAAAAAAUACCGUAUCCACCAAAUCAUAAUAUACACAUCUCUUUCUUUUGACAUUUAAAAGCUUUUCACACACUUGGCCAAAAAUAAAAAAUAGAAAGAUACUUUCGUUUCACACAUAAAACACUUUUCCCUAAAACACAUUAAUCUCUGGAUUUACUUCCUCUAUACGUUUCUAUUCUUCAUCAGUAUAUACAAGAACCAAAUGAAAGCUCACGCACUCAUCUCAUAAAAAAAUAACAAUACAUUUUACAAAGAACUCUGAAAUGGCAAACCAAAGAGGGUUACUACAUGUAGUUAUGAUGAUCAUCACUGUUUGGCUUCUUUAUGCAGCACCUAACAUCCAUGGCUGGGGAAAAGAAGGUCAUGAAAUCACCUGUAAAAUCGCGCAGGUUUUGAUUUAUUCAUCUUCUUUCGUCUUUUAGUUUUGAAUCAAAAUAUGUAAAACUAAUAAGUUAAGGAGAAGAACAGGCUAGAUUGGAUGAAACUGCAGCGAAGGCGGUGAGAGAGCUGUUACCUGAAUCUGCAGAAGGGGAUCUGUCGAGCUUGUGUCUAUGGGCUGAUCAUGUCAAGUUUAGAUACCACUGGUCUUCUCCUCUUCACUACAUCAACACUCCUGAUGUUUGUUCCUACCAAUACAAUAGUAAGUGUUUUCAUAAGACACUUCUUACAAAAUCAUCAAAAACCAUAAGUGAGAAGGUUCCAAAAAACUACAGUGUAUAAUGGAUUUUGUCUUCUUUUCUGUCUGAAGGGGACUGCAAGGACGAAGAUGGAGAGAAAGGAAGAUGUGUUGCAGGAGCCAUUUACAAU